CUUCCGUAGGUGAACCUGCGGAAGGAUCAUUAUCGAAGCAUAGAGCGCGCUUUAUUGCGGCUCGACCUUCACAUCCAUUCACCCUGUGCACCGUAAUAAUUUAAUUAUUAUUCUCAUCAAACCCUACUAGUCUACGAAUGUAAAAUCCUUUAUAAUUAAAAUAAAACUUUUAACAACGGAUCUCUUGGCUCUCGCAUCGAUGAAGAACGCAGCGAAAUGCGAUAAGUAAUGUGAAUUGCAGAAUUCAGUGAAUCAUCGAAUCUUUGAACGCACCUUGCGCCUUUUGGUAUUCCGAAAGGCACACCUGUUUGAGCGUCAUGAACACCUCAAUCCCCAUCUUUUCUUCGGAUCGAUGGGUGGCUUGGAUGUUGGGCCCUGCUGGUAUGCUAUAUCAGCUGGCUUUAAACUUAUUAGCCGGCUUUGUACUGGAUCGGUUUGACUCGACGUGAUAAUAUUAUCGUUGAGGAUGCAUGCCUCAUGCAGCCGGAAAGUAUCAAAGCAGCUUCUAGCUUGCCUUUAGCGCACUUUUACAUUUUAGACCUCAGAUCAGGUGGGACUACCCGCUGAACUUAAGCAUAUCAAUAAGCGGAGGA
rnacentral:rRNA from 1 species